rnacentral:rRNA from 1 species
UGAGGAAUAUUGGUCAAUGGACGCAAGUCUGAACCAGCCAAGUAGCGUGCAGGAUGACGGCCCUAUGGGUUGUAAACUGCUUUUAUAUGGGGAUAAAGUGGGGAACGUGUUCCCUUUUGCAGGUACCAUAUGAAUAAGGACCGGCUAAUUCCGUGCCAGCAGCCACGGUAAUACGGAAGGUUCGGGCGUUAUCCGGAUUUAUUGGGUUUAAAGGGAGCGUAGGCCGUUUGGUAAGCGUGUUGUGAAAUGUAGGAGCUCAACUUCUAGAUUGCAGCGCGAACUGUCAGACUUGAGUGCGCACAACGUAGGCGGAAUUCAUGGUGUAGCGGUGAAAUGCUUAGAUAUCAUGAAGAACUCCGAUUGCGAAGGCAGCUUACGGGAGCGCAACUGACGCUGAAGCUCGAAGGUGCGGGUAUCGAACAGG